UACGGAGGGUGCAAGCGUUAAUCGGAAUUACUGGGCGUAAAGCGUGCGUAGGCGGUUCGUUAAGUCUGCUGUGAAAUCCCCGGGCUCAACCUGGGAAUGGCGGUGGAUACUGGGCAGCUAGAGUGUGUCAGAGGAUGGUGGAAUUCCCGGUGUAGCGGUGAAAUGCGUAGAGAUCGGGAGGAACAUCAGUGGCGAAGGCGGCCAUCUGGGACAACACUGACGCUGAAGCACGAAAGCGUGGGGAGCAAACGGG
rnacentral:rRNA from 1 species